GAUGAACGCUGGCGGCGUGCUUAACACAUGCAAGUCGAACGAUGAAGCCCAGCUUGCUGGGUGGAUUAGUGGCGAACGGGUGAGUAACACGUGAGUAACCUGCCCUUAACUCUGGGAUAAGCCUGGGAAACUGGGUCUAAUACCGGAUAGGAGCGUCCACCGCAUGGUGGGUGUUGGAAAGAUUUAUCGGUUUUGGAUGGACUCGCGGCCUAUCAGCUUGUUGGUGAGGUAAUGGCUCACCAAGGCGACGACGGGUAGCCGGCCUGAGAGGGUGACCGGCCACACUGGGACUGAGACACGGCCCAGACUCCUACGGGAGGCAGCAGUGGGAAUAUUGCACAAUGGGCGAAAGCCUGAUGCAGCGACGCCGCGUGAGGGAUGACGGCCUUCGGGUUGUAAACCUCUUUCAGUAGGGAAGAAGCGAAAGUGACGGUACCUGCAGAAGAAGCACCGGCUAACUACGUG
rnacentral:rRNA from 1 species